AAGAAACUAAACAUUUAUAUUAUUGCUUCUGUACUUCCAGAAAAUUCUUCCAUUUCAACAGAGUAAGAACGUUAUUAGUAAUAUCAGAAUUUCAUGAAGCAAACCAUAGCAUCUUCUCUGUGCCAUAACUACAUUUUCAAUAACAUACCAAAGAGUGUAAACUGAUGGCCAGCUUAACUCAGGAAUACAGCAUCACCUGUUAAGGGUUUUAAUAAGCAAUGAGUCCCCCAGUCAAGU
rnacentral:lncRNA from 1 species